rnacentral:rRNA from 1 species
UGGAUCCAGACUUUGAUUAUGGCUCAGGAUGAACGCUAGCUACAGGCUUAACACAUGCAAGUCGAGGGGAAACGACAUCGAAAGCUUGCUUUUGAUGGGCGUCGACCGGCGCACGGGUGAGUAACGCGUAUCCAACCUGCCCAUCACUUGGGGAUAACCUUGCGAAAGUAAGACUAAUACCCAAUGACGUCUCUAGAAGACAUCUGAAAGGGGUUAAAGAUUUAUCGGUGAUGGAUGGGGAUGCGUCUGAUUAGCUUGUUGGCGGGGUAACGGCCCACCAAGGCUACGAUCAGUAGGGGUUCUGAGAGGAAGGUCCCCCACAUUGGAACUGAGACACGGUCCAAACUCCUACGGGAGGCAGCAGUGAGGAAUAUUGGUCAAUGGACGAGAGUCUGAACCAGCCAAGUAGCGUGCAGGAUGACGGCCCUAUGGGUUGUAAACUGCUUUUAUAAGGGAAUAAAGUGAGUCUCGUGAGACUUUUUGCAUGUACCUUAUGAAUAAGGACCGGCUAAUUCCGUGCCAGCAGCCGCGGUAAUACGGAAGGUCCGGGCGUUAUCCGGAUUUAUUGGGUUUAAAGGGAGCGUAGGCCGGAGAUUAAGCGUGUUGUGAAAUGUAGAUGCUCAACAUCUGCACUGCAGCGCGAACUGGUUUCCUUGAGUACGCACAAAGUGGGCGGAAUUCGUGGUGUAGCGGUGAAAUGCUUAGAUAUCACGAAGAACUCCGAUUGCGAAGGCAGCUCACUGGAGCGCAACUGACGCUGAAGCUCGAAAGUGCGGGUAUCGAACAGGAUUAGAUACCCUGGUAGUCCGCACGGUAAACGAUGGAUGCCCGCUGUUGGUCUGAAUAGGUCAGCGGCCAAGCGAAAGCAUUAAGCAUCCCACCUGGGGAGUACGCCGGCAACGGUGCAACUCAAAUGAAUUGACGGA